CUACGGGGGGCUCCAGUGGGGGAUAUUGCACAAUGGGCGAAAGCCUGAUGCAGCAACGCCGCGUGAAGGAAGACGGUUUUCGGAUUGUAAACUUCUAUCAGCAGGGAAGAAAAUGACUGUACCUGACUAAGAAGCCCCGGCUAACUACGUGCCAGCAGCCGCGGUAAUACGUAGGGGGCAAGCGUUAUCCGGAAUUACUGGGUGUAAAGGGUACGUAGGCGGCUGAUCAAGUCAGAUGUGAAAGCCCGGAGCUCAACUCCGGGACUGCAUUUGAAACUGGUCGGCUAGAGUGCAGGAGAGGAAAGUGGAAUUCCUAGUGUAGCGGUGAAAUGCGUAGAUAUUAGGAAGAACACCAGUGGCGAAGGCGGCUUUCUGGACUGUAACUGACGCUGAGGUACGAAAGCGUGGGGAGCGAACAGGAUUAGAUACCCUGGUAGUC
rnacentral:rRNA from 1 species